rnacentral:rRNA from 1 species
AGUGAACGCUGGCGGUAGGCCUAACACAUGCAAGUCGAACGGCAGCACAGUAAGAGCUUGCUCUUACGGGUGGCGAGUGGCGGACGGGUGAGGAAUACAUCGGAAUCUACUUUUUCGUGGGGGAUAACGUAGGGAAACUUACGCUAAUACCGCAUACGACCUACGGGUGAAAGCAGGGGAUCUUCGGACCUUGCGCGAUUGAAUGAGCCGAUGUCGGAUUAGCUAGUUGGCGGGGUAAAGGCCCACCAAGGCGACGAUCCGUAGCUGGUCUGAGAGGAUGAUCAGCCACACUGGAACUGAGACACGGUCCAGACUCCUACGGGAGGCAGCAGUGGGGAAUAUUGGACAAUGGGCGCAAGCCUGAUCCAGCCAUACCGCGUGGGUGAAGAAGGCCUUCGGGUUGUAAAGCCCUUUUGUUGGGGAAGAACAGCAGCAGGUUAAUACCCCGCUGUUCUGACGGUACCCAAAGAAUAAGCACCGGCUAACUUCGUG